rnacentral:rRNA from 1 species
UACGGAGGGUGCAAGCGUUAAUCGGAAUUACUGGGCGUAAAGCGCGCGUAGGCGGCUAGAUAAGUCGGAUGUGAAAGCCCCGGGCUCAACCUGGGAACUGCAUCCGAGACUGGAAGGCUAGAGUACUGGAGAGGGUGGUGGAAUUCCUCGUGUAGCGGUGAAAUGCGUAGAGAUGAGGAGGAACACCAGUGGCGAAGGCGGCCACCUGGACAGUAACUGACGCUGAGGCGCGAAAGCGUGGGUAGCAAACAGG